rnacentral:tmRNA from 1 species
GGGGCUGAACGGUUUCGACUUUGGUCGUUGGAGCCAAGAGAAGCGAGUCGAGGACCCAGGGUUAUCUCGUUAACGAUCCCUGGAAACCUAUAAGUGCCAAGGUUAAUCGCACUCACUUCGCCCUCGCUGCUUAAGCGACGGUGAAGGGUCGGUCUGGAUGAGCCUCCGCUCCAGUAUCCGGCCUCACUGAGGAGGCUUGCUGCAGACGCCCGGUCGCGGGGCGUCUGCAGGACUUUCACAGCGGCUGAGCCCGUCGGCAACGUGUCUGCUCGAGUGCCGGGGCUGAGAAAAGCGUCAAGCCGACUGCGCUCGGAGAAGACUUGGUUCGGCGUCAGAGGACCCGGGUUCGAUUCCCGGCAGCUCCACCC